UGGCGAUGAGGAGAUAACUACUGUGUUGAAUUGAUAGUGAUAGUUUUAUACGCUAUUCUGAGCCAGCA